UACGUAGGGAGCAAGCGUUGCCCGGAAUUACUGGGCGUAAAGAGCUCGUAGGCGGGGGCGUGCGUCCGAGAAGAAAUCUUACGGCUCAACCGUAGGGCUAUCUCGGAUACGGCGCUUCUUGAGGGUGAGAGAGGAAAGCGGAAUUCCAGGUGUAGCGGUGAAAUGCGUAGAUAUCUGGAGGAACACCAGCGGCGAAGGCGGCUUUCUGGCUCAUUCCUGACGCUGAGGAGCGAAAGCGUGGGUAGCGAACGGG
rnacentral:rRNA from 1 species